GCGAACCGGGGGAACUGAAACAUCUAAGUACCCCGAGGAAAAGAAAUCAACCGAGAUUCCCCCAGUAGCGGCGAGCGAACGGGGAGCAGCCCGGAGUCUGAAUCAGCUUGUGUGUUAGUGGAACGGUCUGGAAAGUCCGACGGUACAGGGUGAUAGUCCCGUACACGAAAAUGCACAUGCUGUGAACUCGAAGAGUAGGGCGGGACACGUGGUAUCCUGUCUGAAUAUGGGGGGACCAUCCUCCAAGGCUAAAUACUCCUGACUGACCGAUAGUGAACCAGUACCGUGAGGGAAAGGCGAAAAGAACCCCGGCGAGGGGAGUGAAAAAGAACCUGAAACCGUGUACGUACAAGCAGUGGGAGCCUCUUUAUGGGGUGACUGCGUACCUUUUGUAUAAUGGGUCAGCGACUUAUAUUCUGUAGCAAGGUUAACCGUAUAGGGGAGCCGAAGGGAAACCGAGUCUUAACUGGGCGUUAAGUUGCAGGGUAUAGACCCGAAACCCGGUGAUCUAGCCAUGGGCAGGUUGAAGGUUGGGUAACACUAACUGGAGGACCGAACCGACUAAUGUUGAAAAAUUAGCGGAUGACCUGUGGCUGGGGGUGAAAGGCCAAUCAAACCGGGAGAUAGCUGGUUCUCCCCGAAAGCUAUUUAGGUAGCGCCUCGUGAACUCAUCUUCGGGGGUAGAGCACUGUUUCGGCUAGGGGGCCAUCCCGGCUUACCAACCCGAUGCAAACUACGAAUACCGAAGAAUGUUAUCACGGGAGACACACGGCGGGUGCUAACGUCCGUCGUGAAGAGGGAAACAACCCAGACCGCCAGCUAAGGUCCCAAAGUCAUGGUUAAGUGGGAAACGAUGUGGGAAGGCACAGACAGCCAGGAUGUUGGCUUAGAAGCAGCCAUCAUUUAAAGAAAGCGUAAUAGCUCACUGGUCGAGUCGGCCUGCGCGGAAGAUGUAACGGGGCUAAACCAUGCAC
rnacentral:rRNA from 1 species